CUACGGGGCGCUGCAGUGAGGAAUAUUGCACAAUGGGGGGAACCCUGAUGCAGCAACGCCGCGUGGAGGAUGACGCAUUUCGGUGUGUAAACUCCUUUUAUAUGUCAAGAAAAUGACGGUAGCAUAUGAAUAAGCACCGGCUAACUCCGUGCCAGCAGCCGUGGUAAUACGGAGGGUGCAAGCGUUACUCGGAAUCACCGGGCGUAAAGGACGCGUAGGCGGGUUGGAAAGUCAGGUGUGAAAUCCUACAGCUUAACUGUAGAACUGCACUUGAAACUUCUAAUCUAGAGUAUGGGAGGGGGAGAUGGAAUUAGUGGUGUAGGGGUAAAAUCCGUAGAUAUCACUAGGAAUACCUAAAGCGAAGGCGAUCUCCUGGAACAUUACUGACGCUAAGGCGUGAAAGCGUGGGGAGCAAACAGGAUUAGAUACCCUGGUAGUC
rnacentral:rRNA from 1 species